rnacentral:rRNA from 2 species
UGCCAGUGAUAAACUGGAGGAAGGUGGGGAUGACGUCAAGUCAUCAUGGCCCUUACGACCAGGGCUACACACGUGCUACAAUGGCAUAUACAAAGAGAAGCGACCUCGCGAGAGCAAGCGGACCUCAUAAAGUAUGUCGUAGUCCGGAUUGGAGUCUGCAACUCGACUCCAUGAAGUCGGAAUCGCUAGUAAUCGUAGAUCAGAAUGCUACGGUGAAUACGUUCCCGGGCCUUGUACACACCGCCCGUCACACCAUGGGAGUGGGUUGCAAAAGAAGUAGGUAGCUUAACCUUCGGGAGGGCGCUUACCACUUUGUGAUUCAUGACUGGGGUGAAGUCGUAACAAGGUAACCGUAGGGGAACCUGCGGUUGGAU